CGCAGGCGGUUUUGUAAGUCAGAUGUGAAAUCCCCGAGCUCAACUUGGGAACUGCGUUUGAAACUACAAGGCUAGAAUAUGUCAGAGGGGGUAGAAUUCCACGUGUAGCAGCGAAAUGCGUAGAGAUGUGGAGGAAUACCAAUGGCGAAGGCAGCCCCCUGGGAUAAUAUUGACGCUCAUGCACGAAAGCGUGGGGAGCAAACAGGAUUGGAUACCCUGGUAGUCCACGCCCUAAACGAUGUCUACUAGUUGUUGGUGGAGUGAAAUCCAUGAGUAACGCAGCUAACGCGUGAAGUAGACCGCCUGGGGAGUGCGGUCGCAAGAUUAAAACUCAAAUGAAUUGACGGGGGCCCGCACAAGCGGUGGAUUAUGUGGAUGAAUGCGAUGCAACGCGAAAAACCUUACAUGGCCUUGACAUGCCGCUAAUGAAGCAGAGAUGCAUUAGGUGGUCGAAAGAGAAAGUGGACACAGGUGCUGCGUGGCUGUCGUCAGCUCGUGUCGUGAGAUGUUGGGUUAAGUCCCGCAACGAGCGCAACCCUUGCCAAUAAUUGCCAUCAUUUAGUUGGGCACUUUAUUGGGACUGCCGGUGACAAACCGGAGGAAGGUGGGGAUGACGUCAAGUCCUCAUGGCCUUUAUGGGUAGGGCUUCACACGUCAUACAAUGGUCGGUCCAGAGGGUUGCCAACCCGCGAGGGGGAGCUAAUCUCAGAAAGCCGAUCGUAGUCCGGAUUGGAGUCUGCAACUCGACUCCAUGAAGUCGGAAUCGCUA
rnacentral:rRNA from 1 species